AUUUCCUUCUCCAGGAUAUCUUCCUGGCCCGAGGACUGAACCCAUGUUUCUUGCAUCUCCCAUCUGGGAAGUCCAUUAUCAGGCCCCCAAUGUCAGCAGUGCUGAGGUUGAGAGGUCGUGCUCUCAGGUAUAGUGUUUUCCAUGUGAGCUGUCUUCUAAGUCCUGAAAACCUUGGACCAUGUCUCGGACUAUAAGGGGAGGAGGAGACAGGAGAAGAAAUUGUUCAGCUCUUCCUCGAGGGGCUGCAGAUUGGAUCCCUGGUUAGGCAGCUGAGAAGCUAAGGUCGAUCUCACAUGCCUCGUGGCCAACCAACCAAAAAACGUGAAACAGAAGUAAUAUUUUAACAUUCAAUAAAGACUUUAAAAAUGGUCCACAUUAAAAAAAGAAUCUUAAACAAUAAAAGAAUUCGCAGGAGUCUACUGAAAGCUUGCAUGCCCAAGUGAGUCUUCUGUAACCUUCCUCUCAAUUAUCUGCUGAUACCCAUAUUUACCCUUUGGGAAGAAAGCAGCUGUCAUGGAUGCCAACAUCUUUUACGUCUUUGUGGCCUGGAAAUGGGUCCAUCGCAGAAUGUUGCUGUCUUAAGGAAUUUUUUGCCUCUGGAGGAAGAGCCAGCUGUGUCAACUGUCGUCACCUAACUGCACAUUCCCUUGGGGCCCAUAUCUUCUUCCUGUGGUCCACCCUGUUUUCAGCCAUCUCCGGUGCCAGCAGAACUGCUUUUUGCUUUCUCCCGAGGAGCUCUCUAGUGCCACACGCACUGCAGCCUACAAGUCAAGGGAGCUAACACCCCUAGAGGCAACCCUCCGCUCCCUGGGAUAGGAAGGAAGCCAUCAGCUAAAUGGCCCUGCCUCCCAGAACAAUUUUAGGGGGCAUUCUGUUACCCAUGGCCGUGAACAGGUCCACAGUCUCCUAAACAAUACAUCUGCCUCCUGCCCCCUGCUGCCCACUUCUCCCUGGGAGCACUUCCAAAUAAAC